CCACACACACACAAACACAGGCCACAGAGAGUCACACAGAGUUUCACACACACAAACACAAACACACACACACACACACACACACACAUCCCUACCUUGAAAUACUCACAACUGCUUACCAUGAGCCAGGUCAAGUCCCGGGUAAAAUUGUUUCACAUUCUUAGGCUUUUGUCCUCCUGGUACAGGAGUCAAAAAUAAGACAUGGGGCCAAAACAGACCUGUACCCUUUGGCCUACAGGUGUGAAACCUGGCGAUUGAGGCAAUUGAUAAUGACAUCUGAAAGUCCAGCCAGCUCCUCAGACCUCCCUGCCGAAUGCUUCAGGCUGCACACCCUAAACAAUGCACUUUAGACGGAGCUGUGUACUUGAAACCAUACAGCGUGAUUCCUUUCGUGCCUCCCUUCUUCUGCUUUGUCUGUUAUGUCCAGACCAUCCACGUUGCCUAUGAGGGCCUCAUAGCACAAAUCCUCACCAUUGCUGACUGCUAGCCUUCAGGCUUUUGCUUAUAGCGUGGUCAUGAGUAAUGACAUCCUACAGUAAAUGAACAAUGGGGUCCUUUCUAGUUCUUUUUUUUUUUUUUUACUAUUAUCCUGUGCAUUUGGGUACCUGACUCAUGGAAGACAUAUGAAAAGCCCCUCUGGAGCUGUCCUCCCAAAAAUAGGAUCCCUGACUGGUCUGUGACUUAUGCAUAGGUCCAGCUUUACCAAACAGUGACAACUUGGGCUACUGUAAUUGGUGGGGUGUAGAUAUCUGAGAUGGGAUCUCAGUCCGUAGCUCAGGCUGGCCCAUCGUGUUUUCUUCGGCAAUCUUCAGUCGCACCAGCAACACGGAGCAAUCCCGUCGCCCCGGGUACAGCAAACAUCAAAAGAACUUUUCCAUCUGGAGGUGGUCACACUCGGAUUACUGGAUGGUGCAAAGGAAGGCUCCUUGGCGACGCUGGGAUUGGAUUGUGUGAUGACACUCCUUUAGAGUAGUGAAUGAUAGACCCGUGCUUAAUGUCUGACUCUCCUCUCAGUAAGAUUCUUAACAUUUAAUGUUUUAUGCAUAAACCUCUACAAAAUAUUAAAGGUGGAUCCUAUAAUUUCCUGCAUGUAUACAAUGUACCCUGGUUACCAUCCUCAUGCCUCCUGCCACUCCCCACUGGGAAUUCUUCACCCCAACCCCAUCCAGGCAUGUGCACCCCCUUCCUCCUUCCUGACUUCUGGUUUCCCUUUAAAAGUAAUACUCUAGUCUCUUUAGUAUUGCCCAGAUGGGUAUGGAAGCAGCCACCUGAACCUGUGCAAUCUGCCACUUGUGGCACACCUGAAGAAAAUGACUGAACCUCCCCGUGACAUCCCUCAACUACAAUGUAGCGUUUCUGCAAGGGGAAUGGCCUCUUGAGCCUCUCGCCCAACCCGAGCUGGAAGGGGCCGGCAUCAUCUCCUGUGGGGCUUGUCACAGAUACGGUGAGUUCUCCAGUGCAGUGGGCAAAUGCCAUGUGAAGACGACACCAUGCCACAGUAUUCUUCCAGAUCCUACACUUGUUACAUUCUUUCUGCCUCCUCUUCUGGAAUGUUGCCUGAGCCUUGGGGGUGGGGCAGGGCGGGAUACACAAAUCCCUUUUGGGAAUGACAGCCCCAGGGUCACUGAUUCUCAGAGGUUUGAACAGGGUGGGGUCUCUGCAUUCACCCCUGCCCACUGCAAAAAGCUGCUUCUUCAGCCAAGCCCGAGAACAGCAGAAAUCCGUGGGAGUCUAGAGCCUUGCUGGCACCGCUGCUUUGACAGGAAAAGUGAAGCUCUGAGGUUCAGCUGGCUCCAACAGGUACCGCUGGGUGCUGUGUCAGGGAGCAGCAGAUGAGAACCCCAGUCUCUGCAGCCCACAGCGUGCAGCCGAUGAGAACCCCACAUGGUCUGUCGUGUUCUGGCAUGUGGAGAAGCAGGGGUUGUAAAUCCUAUUCUGGAGUUGUUCCCCAGGUACUCUAUGUCCCACCAGGACAGCGUCUCGUCCUACAGAGUGUGCGAGGGGCAGCAUUUUCCUCCCACUUAUGCCUGCUCUCACACAGGAAGCUUUACUGGUUCAAGUGGUGCUGAUUUGAAAGCUCUCACAGCAGGGCUCUCAUUCUCAGCUCUCCUGCUUGCCUCCUGACAGAGAUUGUCUCCUGUUUGGGGGAAAUAAGGCCUUCCAACUUCCACUUCAUAAGAUACAUACAUACAUACAAACAUACAGAGAGAGAGAGAGAGAGAGAGAGACAGACAGAGACAGAGACAGAGACAGAGACAGAGAGAGUGUGUUUUCAGAAGGAAGCUUGAGGACAAUUCUAUUAGGAUCUGGGAGGAAAACAACAGGGCCUGCAUUACACGCCAGCUUUGUCAGAAGCAGGGCAUAGGGGAAAGCCACACCAAACAUGUGUACCACAUGGGGGCCUUGAGGCCAGCAGGAGGGAGAGAUGGGCUAGGCAGCUGAGGGUACCAUGACCUCAAGAAGAGUGGACGGUGUCUUUCCGUGGUAAAUGCUGAAAGUGUUUUAGGCCCAUUGCAGGCCUCACAUUUGCGCAAGACCAGAAAUGCCAGGGGUGUCCACACCAAAAAUGGCUGUGGUUCUGACAUGGCCUGAGACUGUGGAACAGGGCUUCUGGCUCUUUCUCUUCACUUUCCCCUCCAGAAGUACCAUCUGAAGGAAACCGCAGUGGCUGAAACUACGAGGCACCUGGACACCAGCAAUAGACCUGGACUUACCAGAUCAUCCCCUGACAUGGCCCUCCUCCAUCCAAUUAAUCCAAAUCAACUCCAAGGCAAGGAGGCUCAGUGCUGUCACACUACCAGACACCCAGCUGCUAUACAGAAGCUCUUCCUAAAUCCUCUUUGUUUCAAACCCUGCCUCACUCUGUUCAGAGCGAGCAGCGUUAUCUCAAACAAACAGACAGCAACAACAAAGGCUAACAAAUCCCAGAGAGCACUCAUACUUCCUGAGUCUUCCCACAUGCCUUUGUGUCGAGAAAACCAUCACAGCAGGCUGUGAAUUCAAGUUCCCACCUGCAGGAUGAGGUACCCUUACCCGUGUACAUCAGGGAUAAUGGAAACCAUCCUGAGUGACGUGAACCAGUCUCAAAAAGAGAAUCAUGAGUCAGUCUCCUGGCUUCACUUGGGGCGGUCAGAUCUCCAUCACAACCAGCAUGUCUCAGAGGGCCACGCCACCUCCGUGCCCGUUGCUGUCCUCGGCAGCCAUCACAAAGCACGGGCAUCUCCAGAGUGCUACAAUCUCCCUCCGCAAAUGGACAGCACCUUCACCAAGGAUAUCUCAUGCCCUCUCUUCAUGGUGACACACCGCAACUUCUCUGCACGACUCCAUUCAAUCCUUGGUCUUCAACAGCUGCUGAGGCUGUGCCUUCCAAUGGCCUCUUCUGGCCGCUCACAGUGUCCACUCUCAGGUGCUCUUUGAGAUCCCUUCAUGGCUUCUAAACCGGCACCAUCUAGGAGAAUAUUACCCAUGACCUAGGUUGUCUGCCAGCAUGAGGUACAACAUUGGCUCACUCUGGAAAACAGCUUCUCUGUGGAUUGACCCAACAAACACCUCACCAGAAGAAGUACCUCUGUGAUGCUUCUCUAUCGGUGACCACAGCAGAUUCCUCCAUCUCAGAACUCAGGAUCACCUGAACAGGGUUGGUACCAACCACAAUGCACUGGGCUCUCCCACGUUAAUCACGAAGAAAAUGCUCUUCAGGCUUGCUUCCGAUCUUGUGAAGGCAUUUCCUCCACUGAGAUGACUCAAGCUUGUGUCCAGCACACACAGAAUUAGCCAGCACCGAGGUCCUCCCUUCUUGGAUGGAUGUGUCCCUGCAGGCAAGGCUUGGGGCUUCCAAAGACUCCUGCCUUUCUCAGCGUGCACACUGCUUCCUGCUUCUCCUUUGAGAUGUGUUCUCAGCUGUUCCUGCUGCCAUGCCUUUGCUCCAGCAUCAGGGAAUCUGACACUCUGGAACCAUAAGCAAAAUAAACUAUCUUUUCUCUAGUCUAA